AAUACUUUUAUUCGUGUAUACCGAUAAUCCGGAUAUAGAGAUGUUAUUUUAAAACGAAAAUUGGUUUUUAUAAUCACCCAUAGCGAUUAAUAAUAUGCAUGUACAUUGUACGUUGUGUAGUAAAUUUGAUUUCGUCCAAAUCGACAAUUCUUAAUCUUAUCUGUAACAGAAAAUGUGUCUUGUACGACCGUAUUGUAUACAGAAUACCUACGUUUCUUAGUCGUUUAGUUGCCGUUUUGAUUGCUAUCCGUUUAGACACGAUCCGAAUAAGUUAAAAAUGUCAA